GAGUUUGAUCCUGGCUCAGGACGAACGCUGGCGGCGUGCUUAACACAUGCAAGUCGAGCGAUGAAGCUCCUUCGGGAGUGGAUUAGCGGCGGACGGGUGAGUAACACGUGGGUAACCUGCCUCAUAGAGGGGAAUAGCCUUUCGAAAGGAAGAUUAAUACCGCAUAAGAUUGUAGUACCGCAUGGUAUAGCAAUUAAAGGAGUAAUCCGCUAUGAGAUGGACCCGCGUCGCAUUAGCUAGUUGGUGAGGUAACUGCUCACCAAGGCGACGAUGCGUAGCCGACCUGAGAGGGUGAUCGGCCACAUUGGGACUGAGACACGGCCCAGACUCCUACGGGAGGCAGCAGUGGGGAAUAUUGCACAAUGGGGGAAACCCUGAUGCAGCAACGCCGCGUGAGUGAUGACGGUCUUCGGAUUGUAAAACUCUGUCUUUAGGGACGAUAAUGACGGUACCUAAGGAGGAAGCCACG
rnacentral:rRNA from 1 species